rnacentral:rRNA from 1 species
GACGAACGCUGGCGGCGUGCCUAAUACAUGCAAGUCGAGCGGAUCUUUGAAGGAGCUUGCUCCUGAUAAGAUUAGCGGCGGACGGGUGAGUAACACGUAGGCAACCUGCCCAUAAGACCGGGAUAACAUUCGGAAACGAAUGCUAAGACCGGAUAUGCAGUUCCUUCGCAUGGAGGGAUUGGGAAACACGGUGCAAGCUGUGGCUUAUGGAUGGGCCUGCGGCGCAUUAGCUAGUUGGUGAGGUAACGGCCCACCAAGGCGACGAUGCGUAGCCGACCUGAGAGGGUGAACGGCCACACUGGGACUGAGACACGGCCCAGACUCCUACGGGAGGCAGCAGUAGGGAAUCUUCCACAAUGGGCGAAAGCCUGAUGGAGCAACGCCGCGUGAGCGAGGAAGGCUUUCGGGUCGUAAAGCUCUGUCUUCAGGGACGAAUGUGCAGGAUGUAAAUAAUGUCUUGUAAUGACGGUACCUGAGGAGGAAGCCACGGCUAACUACGUGCCAGCAGCCGCGGUAAUAC